UACGGAGGAUGCAAGCGUUAUCCGGAAUCAUUGGGCGUAAAGCGUUCGUAGGUGGCUUUUCAAGUCUGCCGUCAAAGACCGGGGCUUAACCCCAGAAAGGCGGUGGAAACUGAAUAGCUAGAGUGCAGUAGGGGUAGAGGGAAUUCCCGGUGUAGCGGUGAAAUGCGUAGAGAUCGGGAAGAACACCCGUGGCGAAAGCGCUCUACUGGACUGCAACUGACACUCAGGGACGAAAGCUAGGGGAGCGAAUGGG
rnacentral:rRNA from 1 species